rnacentral:tRNA from 1 species
GCCCUUGAAAGAUAACAGUAAUCUAUU